UUCUAGCCCCGACAUACGCGGAAAUACUUUUGGGCGCAUUUACCUUCAUAACCGUGAAACCAUAACUAAAAGAUUGCAGCAUUGGCGGGAAAAAUG
rnacentral:sRNA from 1 species